UCAUGACGAACGCUGGCGGCGUGCUUAACACAUGCAAGUCGAACGAAGAGCGAUGGAAGCUUGCUUCUAUCAAUCUUAGUGGCGAACGGGUGAGUAACGCGUAAUCAACCUGCCCUUCAGAGGGGGACAACAGUUGGAAACGACUGCUAAUACCGCAUACGAUCUAAUCUCGGCAUCGAGGAUAGAUGAAAGGUAGCCUCUACAUGUAAGCUAUCACUGAAGGAGGGGAUUGCGUCUGAUUAGCUAGUUGGAGGGGUAACGGCCCACCAAGGCGAUGAUCAGUAGCCGGUCUGAGAGGAUGAACGGCCACAUUGGGACUGAGACACGGCCCAGACUCCUACGGGAGGCAGCAGUGGGGAAUCUUCCGCAAUGGACGAAAGUCUGACGGAGCAACGCCGCGUGAGUGAUGACGGCCUUCGGGUUGUAAAGCUCUGUUAAUCGGGACGAAAGGCCUUCUUGCGAAUAGUGAGAAGGAUUGACGGUACCGGAAUAGAAAGCCACGGCUAACUACGUGCCAGCAGCCGCGGUAAUACGUAGGUGGCAAGCGUUGUCCGGAAUUAUUGGGCGUAAAGCGCGCGCAGGCGGAUCGGUCAGUCUGUCUUAAAAGUUCGGGGCUUAACCCCGUGAUGGGAUGGAAACUGCCAAUCUAGAGUAUCGGAGAGGAAAGUGGAAUCCC
rnacentral:rRNA from 1 species